rnacentral:rRNA from 1 species
UACGUAGGGGGCAAGCGUUGGUCCGGAAUCAUUGGGCGUAAAGCGCGCGUAGGCGGCCCGAUAAGUCUGCUGUGAAAGUCCAGGGCUCAACCCUGGAAUGCCGGUGGAUACUGUCGGGCUAGAGUUCGGAAGAGGCAAGUGGAAUUCCUGGUGUAGCGGUGGAAUGCGCAGAUAUCAGGAGGAACACCUAUAGCGAAGGCAGCUUGCUGGGACGACACUGACGCUAAGGCGCGAAAGCGUGGGGAGCGAACGAG